rnacentral:rRNA from 1 species
CAGCCGCCGCGGGAAUACGGAGGGUGCAAGCGUUAUCCGGAUUUAUUGGGUUUAAAGGGUCCGUAGGCGGACUUAUAAGUCAGUGGUGAAAGCCUGUCGCUUAACGAUAGAACUGCCAUUGAUACUGUAAGUCUUGAGUAUAUUUGAGGUAGCUGGAAUAAGUAGUGUAGCGGUGAAAUGCAUAGAUAUUACUUAGAACACCAAUUGCGAAGGCAGGUUACCAAGAUAUAACUGACGCUGAGGGACGAAAGCGUGGGUAGCGAACAGGAUUAGAUACCCCAGUAGCCCUGUCUCUUAUACA